ensembl:lncRNA
AAGAGUGGGAAGGGAGGAGGAGGGGGAAAAGAGUGAAGGGUUGAGAUCCAGGAAGAAGGUAGUGGGAUGAGGAUGUUUAAGAGGAUGUGCUACCAUAAGAGAGUGUGCCAGCAUGUGUCUUACAACUACUCUCCCUGCCUCAAGGUCAAGGAAGGAUGCAGAAUAUGCUCUUCUCAGUUAGUGUACUUGUUCAGUACCUGGAAAAAAGAGACCCCUCUUGUCUUCAAGAGUAACUAACUCACUUUCUAUGUUAUGAUAGUUUACUUCAGGCUGUACAAUUGCUGCAGGACAGAGAAUAUGGAAUACAAGUUAAAAACAUUUGUUCUCUUCUAAAUGAAACACAACAAAAAGAAAGAUUUAAAGUAGGAAAAAUAAGGCAAAUGAAGAGCUGUAGAGACAGAGUAUUCAGCAAAAUGCAGCUUGAGUUGAAAUGCAUCCAUUGGUUGUGUACAGCUGGGGAAGAGUGUAUGGAACAUGGCUAUGGAGGAGCCACUUGCACCCCUCCUAGGAAACCAUUAUGCUUGAUUACCUUUCCAAAAUUUUUAUACACCAGUGUGUACAGCAUAAGGAAUAAACCGGAAGCUCAAGAUCAGUGCAUCCCUAUGAGUAAGAAGUCAAGCAAAGGAGGCAGGAGGUCUGCACAGAUUAGCAAGGAGCUCCUGGCAAAAAAUUAGAAGGAAGUAUACAAAAUGGGGGAAAAAGGGAACUUUGUCAGAGUUUACAGGGAUGUGACAUGGAAGGCUAAGGACCAUCUGGAAUUAAAUCUGGCAAGGAACAUUGAGGACUAUGAGAAGGGCUUCUUCAAACACAUUAGUAGCAAAAGGAAGACUAGGGAAAAUGUGGGCCUGCUGCUGAAAGGAGUGUGUACCCUGGUGAUGAAGGAUACUGAGAAGAUAGUUACAGAAUACCUUUCUUUGCUUCAUCUGUACUGCUAAUGCCAGCUUUCAGGAGUCCCAGGCCCCAGAGACAAGAGAGAAAGGCCGCAGAAAGGAAGACUUUCCCUUGUUUGAGGAGGAUUUGGUUAGACAUCACUUAGGCAAACUUAACACCCACAAAUUUGUGGUUCCUGAUUGGAGUCUCCUUCCCUGGAGCUGUUCAGAGGCCAUCUGAAAGUGAUCCUGUUCAAUGUGCUCCAGGUGAUAUUGAGCAAGGGGGUUGGACUAGAUGAUUUCCAGGGGUUUCUUCCAAAUAACCAUUCUGUGUUAUUCUGCAUGAAAAUAGAAAAAAAUGAAAAAUCCUUGAAUAUAUAGUUUAAUUUCUUGGCAAUAUCCCCCCUGGCAAGAAAAUCACCUUCAGAACAGUUUGCAAUAAUUAUUCCAAUACUUUUCCAGCUGAAGUCAGCCAGGACUGUUCCUCUAUAGCUACACUAAGGCUGGCCUAUUUAUGUAGCUAUACUCAGGAAAUGCUUCUAUAUGCAAGUCUAUUCACACUUGGUUGAAAAUACUGAGCACAUUUUUUUUCCUUACUUAGUGUGAUGGUUUUAUGCUUCAGAUUAUAAGUUCAAACUUGCACAGUUACUAGACUCAUAUGGUACAAAGCACAGGCCAGGCGUAGUUUGUGAACAUCUCUUUUUUAUUUAGUUUUUGGACCAUCCAAUUUUUUUAUUGUUUUAAAAACUGGCAAAUGCACAGAAAGAAAUAUCAUAGCCCCAGAGGUUAGAAAACAAAGCCAAAUGCAUGAAGGGCAGUUACCCAACCAAAAAU